CGGGUUUAAAUGGGUGGAUUCACUUAAUAAAAAGUAGGUGUUGCCUUACCUGGGAUUUGAACCCAGAUUCUAAGGCCAAUUUAUUGUAUUGAUUACCAUUUCUUCUAUGCAAGAUUUGUGUGCUGUUAUUCUCUUCAAAUAUAUAUUUCACAUAUGCUACACUAAUUAUAUCAGAUAAAUUAAAUUUAUAUUGAAAUAAAAUAAUUAAAAUAUAUUCACAUAUAUAAUUGCCAAAAAAGUUUAUUUAUUUUAUCAAAUUGUG
rnacentral:misc_RNA from 1 species